CUUUUAUUGGACGUUGAUAAUUAUAUGUCAUGAUUUUGUUAGAGGUUAACGUUAAUUAAGUGUAUAAAAUUAUCCAAUAAAAUCAUGACACAUGACGAUUAACGUUC
rfam:Glycine soja cultivar W05 scaffold363_19, whole genome shotgun sequence.